rnacentral:rRNA from 1 species
CCUACGGGAGGCAGCAGUGAGGAAUAUUGGACAAUGGGCGCAAGCCUGAUCCAGCCAUGCCGCGUGCAGGAAGACGCAUCUAUGGUGUGUAAACUGCUUUUGUACGGGAAGAAACACUCCCUCGUGAGGGAGCUUGACGGUACCGUAAGAAUAAGGAUCGGCUAACUCCGUGCCAGCAGCCGCGGUAAUACGGAGGAUCCAAGCGUUAUCCGGAAUCAUUGGGUUUAAAGGGUCCGUAGGCGGUUUAAUAAGUCAGUGGUGAAAGCCCAUCGCUCAACGAUGGAACGGCCAUUGAUACUGUUAGACUUGAAUUACUAGGAAGUAACUAGAAUAUGUAGUGUAGCGGUGAAAUGCUUAGAUAUUACAUGGAAUACCAAUUGCGAAGGCAGGUUACUACUAGUGGAUUGACGCUGAUGGACGAAAGCGUGGGGAGCGAACGGGAUUAGACACCCUGGUAGUCCACGCCGUAAACGAUGGAUACUAGCUGGUUGGGCGCAAGUUCGUAGUAGGUCGUAGACGAAGUAGAGUAAGUAUACCACCGUACGGGUAGGUACGGUUACGUCGAAGAAGUAGAACGUAACGAAAGAGUAGUAGUACGGUCGUAGAGACGACGACGACGACGACGACGGAGGGAGGGAGG